rnacentral:rRNA from 1 species
UACGGAGGGUCCAAGCGUUAUCCGGAAUCAUUGGGUUUAAAGGGUCCGUAGGCGGUUUGGUAAGUCAGUGGUGAAAGCCCAUCGCUCAACGGUGGAACGGCCAUUGAUACUGCCAGACUUGAAUUAUUAGGAAGUAACUAGAAUAUGUAGUGUAGCGGUGAAAUGCUUAGAGAUUACAUGGAAUACCAAUUGCGAAGGCAGGUUACUACUAAUGGAUUGACGCUGAUGGACGAAAAGCGUGGGGAGCGAACAGG